rnacentral:rRNA from 1 species
AACAGGAUUAGAUACCCUGGUAGUCCACGCCGUAAACGUUGGGCACUAGGUGUGGGGCCUUAUCAACGGGUUCCGUGCCGUAGCUAACGCAUUAAGUGCCCCGCCUGGGGAGUACGGCCGCAAGGCUAAAACUCAAAGGAAUCGACGGGGGCCCGCACAAGCGGCGGAGCAUGUGGCUUAAUUCGAGGCAACGCGAAGAACCUUACCUGGGUUGAACUACGCAGGAAAAGCCGUAGAGAUACGGUGUCCGAAAGGGCCUGCGAUAGGUGGUGCAUGGCUGUCGUCAGCUCGUGUCGUGAGAUGUUGGGUUAAGUCCCGCAACGAGCGCAACCCUUGUCCUAUGUUGCCAGCGGGUAAUGCCGGGGACUCGUAGGAGACUGCCGGGGUCAACUCGGAGGAAGGUGGGGAUGACGUCAAGUCAUCAUGCCCCUUACGUCCAGGGCUGCACACAUGCUACAAUGGCCGAUACAAAGGGCUGCUAUCCCGCGAGGGUGAGCGAAUCCCAAAAAGUCGGUCUCAGUUCGGAUCGCAGUCUGCAACUCGACUGCGUGAAGUCGGAGUCGCUAGUAAUCCCGGAUCAGCAACGCCGGGGUGAAUACGUUCCCGGGCCUUGUACACACCGCCCGUCACACCACGAAAGUCGGUAACACCCGAAGCCAGUGGCCCAACCGCAAGGAGGGAGCUGUCGAACGUGGGAUCGGUGAUUGGGGUGAAGUCGUAACAAGGUAACCGUA